CUCUUAUGAAGAGAGAGGGAGGGACUGGCCCGAUGAACUCUCGGCAACCUGGUGUGCAAAGGUGCCAAAUCCAGCGGAUACUUCCGGAAGAUAAGAG
rnacentral:ncRNA from 1 species